UACGGGGGGGGGCAAGCGUUGUUCGGAAUUACUGGGCGUAAAGGGCGCGUAGGCGGCCUGCUAAGUCGGAUGUGAAAUCCCUCGGCUCAACCGAGGAACUGCAUCCGAUACUGGCGGGCUUGAAUCCGGGAGAGGGAUGUGGAAUUCCAGGUGUAGCGGUGAAAUGCGUAGAUAUCAGGAAGAACACCCGUGGCGAAGGCGGCUCUCUGGGACGUGACUGACGCUGAGACGCGAAAGCGUGGGGAGCAAACAGG
rnacentral:rRNA from 1 species